UGUUGGUUCUCCCGCAACGCUACUCUGUUUACCAGGUCAGGUCCGGAAGGAAGCAGCCAAGGCAGAUGACGCGUGUGCCGGGAUGUGGCUGGCAGGA
rnacentral:SRP_RNA from 2 species